rnacentral:tRNA from 1 species
AAUAGGUUGGCAGAUGAAUGCAUUUGAUUUAGGAUCAAAAGAAGAAAUUUUUAUUUCACUUAUUA